rnacentral:rRNA from 1 species
UGCAAGUCGAGCGCAGGAAGCAAGCAGAUCCCUUCGGGGUGAUGCUUGUGGAAUGAGCGGCGGACGGGUGAGUAACACGUGGGCAACCUACCUGUAAGAUCGGGAUAACUCGCGGAAACGUGAGCUAAUACCGGAUAACACUUUUCACCUCAUGGUGAGAAGAUGAAAGGCGGCGCAAGCUGUCACUUACAGAUGGGCCCGCGGCGCAUUAGCUAGUUGGUGGGGUAAUGGCUCACCAAGGCAACGAUGCGUAGCCGACCUGAGAGGGUGAUCGGCCACACUGGGACUGAGACACGGCCCAGACUCCUACGGGAGGCAGCAGUAGGGAAUCUUCCGCAAUGGACGAAAGUCUGACGGAGCAACGCCGCGUGAGUGAUGAAGGUUUUCGGAUCGUAAAACUCUGUUGUUAGGGAAGAACAAGUAUGAUAGUAACUGAUCAUACCUUGACGGUACCUAACCAGAAAGCCACGGCUAACUACGUGCCAGCAGCCGCGGUAAUACGUAGGUGGCAAGCGUUGUCCGGAAUUAUUGGGCGUAAAGCGCUCGCAGGCGGUCUUUUAAGUCUGAUGUGAAAUCUCGUGGCUUAACCACGAACGGUCAUUGGAAACUGGAGGACUUGAGUACAGAAGAGGAGAGUGGAAUUCCACGUGUAGCGGUGAAAUGCGUAGAGAUGUGGAGGAACACCAGUGGCGAAGGCGACUCUCUGGUCUGUAACUGACGCUGAGGAGCGAAAGCGUGGGGAGCGAACAGGAUUAGAUACCCUGGUAGUCCACGCCGUAAACGAUGAGUGCUAGGUGUUAAGGGGGUUUCCGCCCCUUAGUGCUGAAGUUAACGCAUUAAGCACUCCGCCUGGGGAGUACGGCCGCAAGGCUGAAACUCAAAAGAAUUGACGGGGGCCCGCACAAGCGGUGGAGCAUGUGGGUUUAAUUCGAAGCAACGCGAAGAACCUUACCAGGUCUUGACAUCCUUUU